rfam:Fomitiporia mediterranea MF3/22 unplaced genomic scaffold FOMMEscaffold_5, whole genome shotgun sequence.
GCCCGCCUAGCUCAAUCGGAUAGAGCGUCAGACUCUUACUUUAAGAGUCCUGCAAAGGUGGAAUCUGAAGGCUGCGAGUUCGACCCUCGCGGUGGGCU